rnacentral:piRNA from 1 species
UAUUUUUAUGUUUUGGAAGUGAGGUCUC